GUUGAGGUCUAUCCCGAUAGGAUCUCUUCUGUAGGUUCCUGUCGUUGGAAAUGCCUCACAGAAUAAACUUGUAGUUUUGCUUUACCCAUUGAGCUACUUGUUAGCUCUGUGGGAUAAAAACUGCAAGACAGAU
ensembl:snoRNA